UACGUAGGGUGCAAGCGUUGUCCGGAAUUACUGGGCGUAAAGAGCUCGUAGGUGGUUUGUCGCGUUGUUCGUGAAAACUCACAGCUUAACUGUGGGCGUGCGGGCGAUACGGGCAGACUGGAGUACUGCAGGGGAGACUGGAAUUCCUGGUGUAGCGGUGGAAUGCGCAGAUAUCAGGAGGAACACCGGUGGCGAAGGCGGGUCUCUAGGCAGUAACUGACGCUGAGGAGCGAAAGCGUGGGGAGCGAACAGG
rnacentral:rRNA from 1 species